GUUGAUAAGGUUAAGUGAAUAAGGGCGCACGGUGGAUGCCUUGGCACUAGGAGCCGAUGAAGGACGGGACUAACACCGAUAUGCUUUGGGGAGCUGUACGUAAGCUAUGAUCCAGAGAUUUCCGAAUGGGGGAACCCAACAUCUUUAAUAGGAUGUUACGAUUGUGUGAAUACAUAGCACAUUCGAGGUAGACGCAGAGAACUGAAACAUCUAAGUACCUGCAGGAAGAGAAAGAAAAUUCGAUUCCCUGAGUAGCGGCGAGCGAAACGGGAAAAGCCCAAACCAGCAAGCUUGCUUGUUGGGGUUGUAGGACUCCAAUAUGGUAGUUCUUUCAGAUAGUCGAAUGACUUGGAAAAGUCAGUCAAAGAGGGUAAAAACCCCGUAGACGAAAUGUGGAAGACACCUAGGAGGAUCCUGAGUACGGCGGAACACGAGAAAUUCCGUCGGAAUCCGGGAGGACCAUCUCCCAAGGCUAAAUACUCCCUAGUGACCGAUAGUGAACCAGUACCGUGAGGGAAAGGUGAAAAGCACCCCGGAAGGGGAGUGAAAUAGAACCUGAAACCGUGUGCCUACAACAAGUCAAAGCCCGUUAAUGGGUGAUGGCGUGCCUUUUGUAGAAUGAACCGGCGAGUUACGAUUGCAUGCGAGGUUAAGUUGAAGAGACGGAGCCGCAGCGAAAGCGAGUCUGAAUAGGGCGUUUGAGUAUGUAGUCGUAGACCCGAAACCAUGUGAUCUACCCAUGUCCAGGUUGAAGGUGCGGUAAAACGCACUGGAGGACCGAACCCACGUACGUUGAAAAGUGCGGGGAUGAGGUGUGGGUAGCGGAGAAAUUCCAAACGAACUUGGAGAUAGCUGGUUCUCUCCGAAAUAGCUUUAGGGCUAGCCUCGGAAUUGAGAAUGAUGGAGGUAGAGCACUGUUUGGACUAGGGGCCCAUCUCGGGUUACCGAAUUCAGAUAAACUCCGAAUGCCAUUCAUUCAUAUCCGGGAGUCAGACUGUGAGUGAUAAGAUCCAUAGUCGAAAGGGAAACAGCCCAGACCACCAGCUAAGGUCCCAAAAUAUAUGUUAAGUGGAAAAGGAUGU
rnacentral:rRNA from 1 species